CACGUAGGCACCAAGCGUUGUCCGGAUUUAUUGGGCGUAAAGAGCUCGUAGGCGGUUCGGUAAGUCGGAUGUGAAAUCUUUGGGCUUAACCCAAAGCGUGCAUUCGAUACUGCCAUGACUAGAGUUCGGUAGGGGAGCGGGGAAUUCCUAGUGUAGCGGUGAAAUGCGCAGAUAUUAGGAGGAACACCGGUGGCGAAGGCGCCGCUCUGGGCCGAAACUGACGCUGAGGAGCGAAAGCGUGGGUAGCAAACAGG
rnacentral:rRNA from 1 species